UACGGGGGGAGCAAGCGUUGUUCGGAUUACUGGGCGUAAAGGCGCGUAGGCGGCCACCGCAAGUCGGUUGUGAAAUCUCUGGGCUUAACCCAGAAAGGUCAACCGAUACUGCGGGGCUAGAGUGCAGAAGGGCAACUGGAAUUCUCGGUGUAGCGGUGAAAUGCGUAGAUAUCGAGAGGAACACCUGCGGCGAAGGCGGGUUGCUGGGCUGACACUGACGCUGAAGCGCGAAAGCUAGGGGAGCGAACGGG
rnacentral:rRNA from 1 species